CAUCAGACGUAAUCUGCCGCAAACAUAUUGCGGUUCACACCGUAUUAUUGGAUACCUUGGCGAAACGCCAAGCUAAUACAUGAACAACCGGGCGUUCUCCACCAAAUGCUUCCCAUCGGUCCGCCGGUGGGGGCAGUGAGACGUCCAGCGAAUGAAUGCAAUUAGAACCAACGCCUGCAAAGGCAGCAAUACAAAGAAGUGUUGAAUCAAUUCAUUCUGCGAAAGCCGGCUUGCCGGCGUAUUUUGACGAACAACUGCCCUAUCAGCCAGUGAUGGCCGUGUAGUGGACUGCCAUGGCGUUGACGGGAGCGGGGGAUUAGGGUUCGAUUCCGGAGAGGGAGCCUGAGAAACGGCUACCACUUCUACGGAGGGCAGCAGGCGCGUAAAUUGCCCAAUGCCAAGAAAAUACAUGAUGAGGCAGCGAAAAGAAAUAGGUUUUCCAGAUACCCACACGGGCUUUUGGGAAUUUACAAUGGGGGAUAUUUAAACCCAUCCAAUAUCGAGUAACAAUUGGAGGACAAGUCUGGUGCCAGCACCCGCGGUAAUUCCAGCUCCAAAAGCGUAUAUUAACGCUGUUGCUGUUAAAGGGUUCGUAGUUGAAUUGGG
rnacentral:rRNA from 1 species